UUUCAUUCUCCUAGGAGAGCAGAGAUGUAAUGGCAUCAUCCUGAGACAUGGGAAUUGAGAACAUGUUUAAUGGUGGCAGACAGGGUCUGUGUGCAGGCUGCAGAGGUACUGGGUGCUCAGAGCUGGGCAGAGCCACAGAGGUGGUGAUUUUACUCUCUUAGGUGGCUGCAUCUCCCAUCAAUGUCCUGUAACCAUGGACAGUAGAUGGGGGAAUGGAAAGGGGCAGCCCUUAUCUCCCCCUGCAGGAGCUCAGAUUCCCUGCUGCCACACUCUGCCAGCAGUGCUGUGGCUCACCGGCCUUGCCUAUACCUGGCAUUCGCUUUAGUCCAUCUUGCAGGCACGCUUCCAUGCCGGGUGUGUGGUUUGCUCAGUCUGUGCUAAUUACGCCCUUGACAUAUGCAGCAGAACUGCUUGUGUCUAUAACAGCACAGAGGUGAAGGAGGUUAAUUAACUCAGAGAAAGGAAGCUGAGUGUCCCUACAUAACACCCCCUUCCAUAUGCGUUAGUUUUGAAGCCUGGAGACACUGUUUAACCAAACACAGCCCAUGACUUACUAACUUUCUUGUUUCCUCCCUCUCUUCCCUGUGUUACCAACGCUAUAGGUGGAUGGUGCUGAAGCCAGUGAAAAGCUCACAGAAACAGCAGCCUCUCCUGGGAAGAUACCUCCUCAUGGACGAGUGAUAAGCCUUUCCCCCAGAGUGCAGGUGCUAGGCUGCAGAGAACAAGGCACAGCACACUCUCCUGGCUGCUCCAGCUUGUGGCAGCCCUCACUGAACCCACUGCGAUGGGAAUCGCUGUACAAGGUGCCCAUCCCUCACUUCAAGCCUGCGUUCCUCCUCCCCACCACUCCCAGCUUCCAUCAGCAUCCUACAGUGCUGUCCUUCCCUUUUGGCCUACUGGCAAGGAACAAGGAACAAGGAACAAGUCCAUCCUGGCAUAUAACCACCGUGCAGAGCAGCUGCCAUCCCCAGCCCCAGCACCCUGCAGACAGACCUUCCUUGGAGCCAUGCAUGGUGUGUAUUUGGUUGCGGAGUUCCUCCUAGAAAUGCAUCGGUUUGGAGAUUCCUACAGCCACGUGGGACCUGAUUGGAUAAUGAAAAUCUCAUCUGCAGUUGGAUCUGCUGUUUGAAGAGGAAUGUAUCAAUUGG
rnacentral:lncRNA from 1 species